rnacentral:piRNA from 1 species
UNCUUCCUGUGGUGCAAGGAACUGCUCGG